GACGAACGCUGGCGGCGUGCUUAACACAUGCAAGUCGAACGGAAAGGCCCUGCUUUUGUUGGGUGCUCGAGUGGCGAACGGGUGCGUAACACGUGAGUAACCUGCCCUUGACUGUGGGAUAACUUCAGGAAACUGGGGCUAAUACCGGAUAGGAGCUCCUGCUGCAUGGUGGGGGUUGGAAAGUUUCGGCGGGUGGGGAUGGACUCGCGGGUUAUCAGCUUGUUGGUGGGGUAGUGGCUUACCAAGGCUUUGACGGGAAGCGGGCCUGAGAGGGUGAGCGGCGACAUUGGGACUGCGAUACGGCCCAGACUCCUACGGGAGGAAGCAGUGGGGAAUAUUGCACAAUGGGCGGAAGCCUGAUGCAGCAACGCCGCGUGCGGGAUGACGGCAUUCGGGUUGUAAACCGAUUUCGCCUGUGACGAAGCGUGAGUGACGGUAAUGGGUAAAGAAGCACCGGCUAACUACGUG
rnacentral:rRNA from 1 species